rnacentral:lncRNA from 1 species
GGGUGUGUGUGUAAAUCCUAUAAAAAUCUUCUUUGAAAUCCAUCUAUACCACCACAUUUUGACAAUCAAAGUUUCACUUAUGUGAUUUCAUCACUAUUCUAGUUGAAUGUUACUUUUUUGUUGUAGGUUGCCUAUUUUAAAGUUAUGUUUUAUUAUCACAUUUUUGUAUUGCACUAGAUUGUUAUAAGAUGUACAUUUUUUGUUUCUUCAGCUUGUAAACCGCCUUGAGUAUUGUAAGAUAGAAAGACGGUAUACAAAUUAAAAAUGAAGAUGAUGAUGAUCUUUGAAGAAUACAGCAUGUCAAGAGUAUAUAAUGAUGACCUGCCUCCCAGCUAGACACACAAGAAGAAGAAGAAGAGUUUGGAUUUGAUAUCCCGCUUUAUCACUACCCAAAGGAGUCUCAAAGAGGCUAACAUUCUCCUUUCCCUUCCUCCCCCACAACAAACACUCUGUGAGGUGAGUGGGGCUGAGAAACUUCAAAGAAGUGUGACUAGCCCAAGGUCACCCAGCAGCUGCAUGUGGAGGAGCAGAGACGUGAACCCGGUUCCCCAGAUUAUGAGUCUAUCGCUCUUAACCACUACACCACACUGGCUCUCAUAGCAUGGAGCCCAAAAGGUUUAACAAACUACACUUUUCAGAUUGUUCAACUGGCAACUGUUGGUUGGCAGGUAAAUAGGGCAACAUUGAUAAUGGAAUAAAGUACCAAAUAUUUAACAUUCCUAGCUGGGGUGCAGCCUUAUCAAAGUGACAAAACUAUAUCAUGCACGAUGAGGAAAUUCUCUGGACUAACAUCAACAAGCAGAAGUCUGUAAUACCUUCAGUGUAUUGCUCCCAUUAUAUAUGAUUCUGUAUUUAGGCCGUUCCACCAUGAUGCCAUAGAAUUUGUUUCAGAAGACCUGUCAACAUGGGUAUGAUACGAUUCAAUAGCAGAUAGUGUGGUUAGGCAGUGAUGCUCACCUGAUCUCCCAUUAUCUGUUGCUGCUGCUUACCAGGAAUGAGGGUAGGAACACUCAACAGAUUGGCUCUGAUGGUACAUUUGCAUGGCACCAGGCUCUUCACUGUCACACCCUCUAUCCAGCAGCAGCAAAUCAGCAGAAGGCUAGAUGAGCACCAACACCCAACAGUACGCUACUGAUGUUAUUAAGUCAUACCCUUCUAUGUUAAUAUAUAGAUAUAGUUGUGUCUCUUAGCCUAUCAUGUUUUUAAACAAUUGGUUUUAUUGAGACUCCCUAUUUUCUGUUUGGAACUUUGCAUAUUGUCUUACUCAUCUGUUGACUGUAAUAAACACCUGACUAACUUUUGUGUGGUAAAUGUGGCAUUUUUUGCAGCUACGGCUUGUAAAUCAUCAUCUUAGAAAAUAUAAAACCUAGAUUUUGUCUUUCCGAUGGACACAGGGCUGGUGGAGGUAUUUUUCAGCUUCAAAUGUGACAGCCUAUAUAACAAGGCUGGAUGUAGACUAAAAGGGAAGAAAAAUCUGAAUAAUAGUCAGACUUUGCCAGAAAGUCAGUUUUGAUCUCAAAAAGCAUGUUCUGUACUGGAGGGAUUAACUAAAGAUAACUGAGAAAAAAGAAUCCUCCUGCAUUUUUCAGGUAAGAAAUGCUAGUUGCUUUAACUCAUUUUUUUAAAAAAAAUAAUAGCUAAUUAUCUGCUCAAUAAGCCCUAAGGAAAGACAAUUACAGUUGAUCAUACUGUCAAUGACUGUAUGGACAAAGGGCAGAGAAAUCAAUCCACACAGUAUCAUCAGUACAGACAGCUUCAGUGUCUGGAACAACAUGGACCCCAAAAACUGUCCCAAGUAUAUCAUUCUGUCAAGAUUUGCAAUCAAUUUUAAUCAAUGUUUACAUCUAUUUCUUUUAACAGAUUUCCAAGUACACCAACAAGUUGAGAUGGGUGUCAACCAAAAAAACACAAAAGAGUAGGUUUGUUCAUUCAUUCAUAUUUUAAUUAGAGGACAUGAAACAAAAGAAAAGAUUAUUGUGACUAUAUGGUUAAAUUCAGUUCUAAUGCUAAACCAUGGUCUCCUUCUGGGCCCCCGUGUUCCCUCUCCCCUUCCCUCCUGAACAGAAAGAGUUCAGAAGCCUUUGCCCCCCUUUCAACAUGGCUUAUCACUUCAUCUGAACCAGGAAUCAUAGUUUGACGCUAACCAUGGUUAGUUUCAACAAACCAGCUCCACAACCCAUGAUCUGACGUUGGCUUAUUUUGAAUUUCUUUUCUAACCAAAUCAUGUUUAACCGCAAUCCCUGAUUCAGAUGAAAUGACUAGUGGAAGAACCUGGGAGAUGGCCAGGCUUAUUCACAUUGCACAAAGCCAUAGUUUACCGUCCCUUUCAAACAUUACCCUUCUGUGGCCUGAAUCAUGUGUAAAAGUAAAAUUUUACUAAUUAUGAAUUUUAAGUCCAUUACAUGGUAUGAGCAUAUUUUUUAACUCCAGGAUGCCUCUCUCCCAGAAAAUGCAAGGCAGAGUCAAAUUUCAAAUUACUUCCCAGGGAGUAGGGGCUUCCCGAAUUGAAGUGACAUCACUCCACAACUUUACUACAAAACUAACAACAACAACAAAUAGCAUGUAAAAUCAGUAUGACUGAGAAAAAGAAGAGAGCACAAUACCUAUACUUACACUUGCACAAUUUGCAGCACUGGCCUGUUAAAUGGACCGGAAGGCGGUCUGGCGAACAGUUCAAUGGUGGGCAGGCCAUUCGCCGGCACUCCACUACUCCACUCUGUAAAAUAAUAGAAAAAUAGGAUUAAAACACCUGUAUACAGAAGGGUUAGCCAACAUGGUGCUCUCUAGAUGUUGUGGACUACAACUCCCCUCAUCUUUGGCAAUUGACCACGCUGGCUAGAGCUGAUGGGAGCUAGAAGUUUGAAAAGCUCUGCAGGGUACCACAUUGGCUAUCUUUGGUAUAAAGUAAUGUAUAUUUUAGGGGGCGGGAAACAUUCUGAACUUGUGGAAAAAAUAAUUAGCUUAGAUAUGAAUAUUUGGAUAAGCUAUACUGCAACUACAAUUUCACCAUUCUGAAGCAACCAUAAUCAUAUCCAGCUGCUACCUAUGUGAACAUCUAUUAAAUUUCAGAUAUAAAUUAUUUCCCUUAUUCCACCAAUCACUAAGUGGGUUAGACAAUAGAAGCCAUCUACCCAUUUUUAAAAAUACAAAAUAACACCUUCACAGUCUCUGUCAAUCAUCUUCAUUUUAACAAACAGUUUUCUAUUUUCUUGGGCAAACAAAACCUCUCUUCUGAUAGUUAUCAAAUAAUUUCAACAGUACAAGAUUUACAUACUAAUCAACUUUUGUUCCUCUGAUGUUGAAAAUAAUAAAUACCACGAGCACAAUAUACAUGUUGUUGUCAUGCAAAAUGCAACUCGUGCAAACAAUUAAGAUAACGUCUCAUUUCCCACAAACUUCAGUAAUACAAUUCUAAAUUGUACACAGG